UGGGGAAUAUUGCACAAUGGGCGAAAGCCUGAUGCAGCAACGCCGCGUGAGUGAUGAAGGCCUUCGGGUUGUAAAGCUCUUUGAUCAGGGACGAUAAUGACGGUACCUGAAGAACAAGCCACGGCUAACUACGUGCCAGCAGCCGCGGUAAUACGUAGGUGGCAAGCGUUGUCCGGAUUUACUGGGCGUAAAGGAUGCGUAGGUGGAUAUUUAAGUGAGUUGUGAAAUACCAGAGCUUAACUUUGGUGCUGCAAUUCAAACUGGAUGUCUAGAGUGCAGGAGAGGAAAGUGGAAUUCUUAGUGUAGCGGUGAAAUGCGUAGAGAUUAAGAAGAACACCAGUGGCGAAGGCGACUUUCUGGACUGUAACUGACACUGAGGCAUGAAAGCGUGGGGAGCAAA
rnacentral:rRNA from 1 species